rnacentral:lncRNA from 1 species
GAGCCGUGUGACGAGGAGCCCAAGGUGUCCCAGCCCAAGGGCCCGCCCGGAUUCCCGCGGGAUGUGCCGGUGGCGGAGCUGCUGCAGAGGGCUUGAGCCUGCAGGCCGAGGAGGAGCUGCUGUUCCUGCAGCUGCCCGACACCCUGCCCGGGCAGCCCCCCACCCACGACUCCAAACCCAUCAAAUCCGAGCUGCACAACGAGGACGGGCAGGUGGUGGUGGUGAAGCAGGAGAAGAGCCAGGAGGCGAAGCAGGCGGAGAACACGUGCACCCUGGCCGACCUCCCCGAGGGGCAGGUGGGGAAGCUGCUCAUCCGAAAGUCGGGGAAGGUGCAGCUGGUGCUGGGCAAGGUGACCCUGGACGUGACCAUGGGCACCCCCUGCUCCUUCCUACAGGAGCUGGUGUCCGUCGGCAUCGGGGACAACCGGACGGGCGAGAUGAUCGUCCUGGGCCACGUGAGGCACAAGCUGGUGUGUUCCCCGGAUUUCGAGGCUCUCCUGGAGCACAGGCACCGGUAGCUGAGGGAUUCUCAGCCCCCCCGGCCCGUGGGGACAGUCCCUGCACACCCUCAGCCCCCCCCAGAUGUGCCUUUGGGCUGUGGGGAGGGGUCUUGUGCAGCUCCGACCUCCUCCCAGCCCCGUGGGGGGUCAGAGGCGUCCCCCCAAAGCUGCUGCUUCCCCCCCCCUGUGCCAAAGGGGGGUUUUUGGGCAUGUGGGACCGUGGGGUGUCCCCCCCUUCAGCUCCCUGGUGGCUGUGGAUGCGCUGGUGGGGGCGGGACACACGUCAAGGGGGAAAGAACAUGGAAUAAAACAUGGAAUAAACAUCUUUUCCCCCUGUGUGGAGCUGCUUGG